rnacentral:rRNA from 1 species
UACGGAGGGUGCAAGCGUUGUCCGGAUUUAUUGGGUUUAAAGGGUGCGUAGGCGGUCUUUUAAGUCAGUGGUGAAAUCCUCCAGCUUAACUGGAGAACUGCCAUUGAUACUGGGAGACUUGAGUACAGACGAGGUAGGCGGAAUUGACAGUGUAGCGGUGAAAUGCAUAGAUAUUGUCAAGAACACCGAAUUGCGAAGGCAGCUUACUAGACUGUAACUGACGCUGAGGCACGAAAGUGUGGGGAUCAAAACAGGG